AAUGAUGAGCUUGCAAGUGAUGCGCAGUAGUGGACUAACCAAUGCGACUCGCCGACACAAAUUUUAAUGUGUUUGUGGAUUCGUGGAAUAAUAUGGCGGAUUAUUAUAACUUCGAAAACAACAACUGUACCCGUGAUUUUUGUUAUCCUUACACUCAGAUAGUGUGGGCUGCAACUUCUCUCGUUGGAUGUGGCAUGACUGAAUGUGAAGAAAUGGGAGACACUGAAUUCGUGGGAAAAUUAUUCGUCUGUAUGUACGGACCCAGCUGGCUAUAAUGUCACGAGAGGGUUCUGGUGGAAACUUCUGGGGUGACAGGGGGCUUAGCAGGAUGCAGAAAAAUCAAACCACUAUGUGUAUACUCAUAUGGGCCUGAACAAAGCACUAGGACAAGAUCUCCCAACGGUCC